rnacentral:rRNA from 1 species
AUUGAACGCUGGCGGCAGGCCUAACACAUGCAAGUCGAGCGAGCGGCGGACGGGUGAGUAAUGUAUGGGGAUCUGCCCGAUAGAGGGGGAUAACUACUGGAAACGGUCGCUAAUACCGCAUACUAUCAGAUGAACCCAGAUGGGAUUAGCUAGUAGGUGGGGUAAAGGCUCACCUAGGCGACGAUCUCUAGCUGGUCUGAGAGGAUGAUCAGUCACACUGGAACUGAGACACGGCCCAGACUCCUACGGGAGGCAGCAGUGGGGAAUAUUGCACAAUGGGCGCAAGCCUGAUACAGCCAUGCCGCGUGUAUGAAGAAGGCCUUAGGGUUGUAAAGUACUUUCAGCGGGGAGGCGUUACCCGCAGAAGAAGCACCGGCUAACUCCGUGCCAGCAGCCGCGGUAAUUC